rnacentral:lncRNA from 1 species
AUUAUUACUAUUAUACGUGAUGAGUACAUAUUGUUAAACAGCGUGAUUUGGGGCGUGCAUGCCGUUCGUUUUCAUGUAACAAACGAUAUGUAUAGUGAUGAUCAAGACAUGCAUGGAAAUGAGAAUGAUGGUUUGGUUGCAGGACAAGAUAUCUUUCAGUUGAAAAACUUCACCUACUGGUGCUGCAUUCUUCUUAAAUCUGCCUCCCUACUCGUACACAGGAAAAGUAGCUAGGACUAUUC